UACGUAGGGUCCGAGCGUUGUCCGGAAUUACUGGGCGUAAAGAGCUCGUAGGUGGUUUGUCGCGUUGUUCGUGAAAACUCACAGCUUAACUGUGGGCGUGCGGGCGAUACGGGCAGACUUGAGUACUGCAGGGGAGACUGGAAUUCCUGGUGUAGCGGUGGAAUGCGCAGAUAUCAGGAGGAACACCGGUGGCGAAGGCGGGUCUCUGGGCAGUAACUGACGCUGGAGGCGACGAAAUGCCGUGGGGAGCAAACAGG
rnacentral:rRNA from 1 species